CCUACGGGGGGCAGCAGUGAGGAAUAUUGGUCAAUGGGCUUACGCCUGAACCAGCCAAGUCGCGUGAGGGAAGACUGCCCUAUGGGUUGUAAACCUCUUUUGUCAGGGAGCAAUUGGCGCUACGUGUAGCGUUAUCGAGAGUACCUGAAGAAAAAGCAUCGGCUAACUCCGUGCCAGCAGCCGCGGUAAUACGGAGGAUGCGAGCGUUAUCCGGAUUUAUUGGGUUUAAAGGGUGCGUAGGCGGAAUGCCACGUCAGCGGUAAAAUCGCGGGGCUCAACCUCGCUCCGCCGGUGAAACUGGCGUUCUUGGGUGGGCGAGAAGUAUGCCGAAAGCGGGGUGG
rnacentral:rRNA from 1 species